AGGUGUGUGAAGUGUGUGAGAGCAGCACCUUGGUGGUGACGCGGAUGUUGGCGAGCAUCUGGCCGUGCGCCUCCCACUCGCUGAUGUAACCAGGUAUAGACAGGAUAGUGUGUGAGGUGUGAGGUUUGUGAGGUGUGUGAGGUGUGUGAGAGCAGCACCUUGGUGGUGACGCGGAUGUUGGCGAGCAUCUGGCCGUGCGCCUCCCACUCGCUGAUGUAACCAGGUAUAGACAGGAUAGUGUGUGAGGUGUGAGGUUUGUGAGGUGUGUGAGGUGUGUGAGAGCAGCACCUUGGUGGUGACGCGGAUGUUGGCGAGCAUCUGGCCGUGCGCCUCCCACUCGCUGAUGUAACCAGGUAUAGACAGGAUAGUGUGUGAGGUGUGAGGUUUGUGAGGUGUGUGAGGUGUGUGAGAGCAGCACCUUGGUGGUGACGCGGAUGUUGGCGAGCAUCUGGCCGUGCGCCUCCCACUCGCUGAUGUAACCAGGUAUAGACAGGAUAGUGUGUGAGGUGUGAGGUUUGUGAGGUGUGUGAGGUGUGUGAGAGCAGCACCUUGGUGGUGACGCGGAUGUUGGCGAGCAUCUGGCCGUGCGCCUCCCACUCGCUGAUGUAACCAGGUAUAGACAGGAUAGUGUGUGAGGUGUGAGGUUUGUGAGGUGUGUGAGGUGUGUGAGAGCAGCACCUUGGUGGUGACGCGGAUGUUGGCGAGCAUCUGGCCGUGCGCCUCCCACUCGCUGAUGUAACCAGGUAUAGACAGGAUAGUGUGUGAGGUGUGAGGUUUGUGAGGUGUGUGAGGUGUGUGAGAGCAGCACCUUGGUGGUGACGCGGAUGUUGGCGAGCAUCUGGCCGUGCGCCUCCCACUCGCUGAUGUAACCAGGUAUAGACAGGAUAGUGUGUGAGGUGUGAGGGUUGUGAGGUGUGUGAGGUGUGUGAGAGCAGCACCUUGGUGGUGACGCGGAUGUUGGCGAGCAUCUGGCCGUGCGCCUCCCACUCGCUGAUGUAACCAGGUAUAGACAGGAUAGUGUGUGAGGUGUGAGGUUUGUGAGGUGUGUGAGGUGUGUGAGAGCAGCACCUUGGUGGUGACGCGGAUGUUGGCGAGCAUCUGGCCGUGCGCCUCCCACUCGCUGAUGUAACCAGGUAUAGACAGGAUAGUGUGUGAGGUUUGUGAGGUGUGUGAGGUGUGUGAGAGCAGCACCUUGGUGGUGACGCGGAUGUUGGCGAGCAUCUGG